GCUUGCUUGGCUCAGCUGGUUAGAGCGCAGGUCUCAUACUUCGAUAUGAGCGGCCACAUGGCCGUGCAAUCCUGAGGUCGUCAGUUCGAUCCUGACAGCGAGCA